rnacentral:rRNA from 1 species
ACGUAGGGGGCGAGCGUUGUCCGGAAUUACUGGGCGUAAAGAGCACGUAGGCGGGAACUUAAGUCAGGUGUGAAAGACCGAGGCUCAACCUCGGGGUGGCACUUGAAACUGGGUUUCUUGAGGGCAGGAGAGGAAAGCAGAAUUCCUGGUGUAGCGGUGAAAUGCGUAGAAAUCAGGAGGAAUACCAGUGGCGAAGGCGGCUCCCUGGACAAAGACUGACGCUCAGGUGCGAAAGCGUGGGGAGCAAACAG